UUCGUGAUUAAAAUGUAAAAGAAGGCAACGAUUGAUUCACACAAAAAUCACCUCACCUAUUUAUAACAAAUAGGGCAAUAGGCCGAAUAAAUAUACAAAUGUUUUAAGUAGCCCUAUACAUGAAAAAUAAUUCCCCUUAAAUUUUCUGGAAAAAUUGCAAAUGCUGCCUCAGUUGUCAAACUCAAGCCCCAGGUGUGCAUGUAAGUGAAUUAAAAAGGUAACAAAGCUGUACAGUAGACUAUACGGAUGAGAUAGGUAUAACGCUUUCUAAACUACUGAGUCAAUUAAUUCUUCCGCUCCUAUGAGAACAGAUCCUGCUUGCCAUUCGAGUUAAAUGUUGUAGGUGCAGGCGGUCUUGCUUGACCAGGUUGCGACGGUGGAGCUGUCAGGGCAUAUGUCAGCCUAGACGAAGAAUUCUCGAUUAAACCAGCAACCCCUGCAGCAGCAGAUUGGGCACUUGAAGGAAGGAAGAGAUCAUGUUUCUGGUCUUUAUAAGCGCUCCAGACAUCAGAGGCGUUUAAUAUCUCACGCACUUUAUUACAAUGUGCUCCUUCCGUUGCAAAUGCAUGCAAAACCUCAAUUGCAAGUACUCUGCCGAUAGAUGCUUCUGAUUCAUUCCAAUUCAUCUGAGAGCAUAGUCCAUUCCUUCCACCAGCUCUCCAAUCAAGAAUGCCAAGAAGUACUUCCACAAGGCCAACUUUAAGUCCUUGUGCAACUAGUGCAUCCCGUGCACGAUUUCCAGCAACUACAACACGUUUUAGUGUCUCAAGAGCAAGUAUGCUUCCACCUUGCCAUCCUAUAGCUUUCAUUAGAAGUGGAACAACCUGAGGUGUUCCUACGCUAGUUGCAGCCAUGGCCUCAGCACAUAUCGUACUCGCAGCAAGUUGAUGUAGGACACGCAAACAACUAAGGCGCACACGUUCCUGUGGAGUUUGUGCAGGCGGAGUAGAGCCAUCAUCAGAUUCAUAUGUUUUUCCAGCAUAGUUGCCGUGUUUCACCUCCUCUGAUGACAUCGUUUCUCGCCUUGCCUCAUAUGCUACAGCAGCUACAAGUUUGGGCACAUAUCCAAGAUACCCAACAUGAUCUGCAAGUGCAGGGUGCACUCGCAAUAAUGAAACCAAAGCAGCAGAAAGAAGUAAAGGAAGCUCAGGAUCCAUAGGUUGUGUGUCAUAAUGUGUGGCAGCAAUGGAGGACAAAUAUUGAUCCAGUAGCCCUUCCAAGAAUCUCUUUGGAUUUCUAAGAGGAAACUUAGGAUCCUUAAGAAACAGCCUAACGUAGAUUCCACCAACCUGUGGCUCAUCUCGCAUUUCCUGUUGUCCAGAUGCCUGCUCUGGAACAUCCCAAUCAACAACACGGCCUUUCAUCUGUUCACGGUACAAGUCUGAUGCCAUUGUAGCAAUUUGAGCAGACAAAGAUGCUGCCAUUGCAGGGGUCCAAACAAGCUCUGGUGUUUCUGUUGUCUGUUCAAUCACAGAUACAACAGCCUCACCAGGGCCAUCCCUAAUAACUGAUACCAAGCCAUCUGGAAGAAAUCUUGCCAAUGUAAUAGCAACUCUGGGUCCAUGCAUUGGCUGCCCAACAAGCUUCCCCAAUAAUGAGGCUGCUGCCGCUCUCUGCUGUAACGGAAUAUCUUUUUGCAAAGGCAAAAGAAGUUCCAGAAUGUACACCACUCCCCCAUGCUUGGCAGCUGCCCAAGCAAGUUCUGGAGUGCUUGCCAAAGCAUAAAGAACAUGAAGUGCCUCUUCACGGCAACUUGGAGCAGAGCGAAGCAUUUGAAGUAAAAGGAGACUAGAUCCAUCUGCAACCAUAGCCUCCAAGCAAGGAGCAUAUGUGGUCAAGAGAGAAAGAACAACAAGGCAGAGUUGAAGAAUGUUGCUGUCUGAUGCAAUGGGCACAGAAAGGCAUUCAAAGAGAGGUAGGAGCUUCUCUUUGGAAGAAAAUACAGAUGCCAAAUUUGGAUUACUCGUCAGCAAGUUCUUAAGUGCAGUCAAUCCCAAUUUAAGGUUUUUGACCAGUUUCAACUCUUCAUCGUCUGAUGAUUUUCCAUCUGAGACUGCUGAUGAAUCAUCAGGCGCAUAUCCAUUUAUAGAUACAUCAGUGGUAUCAUUUUGGAUCUCUGAUGUCUCAGGUGAGGAGAUACUGGAACUAAGUUUACUUUGAGCAUCAGAAACUACAGGAUAUUGGUUGCGAACUAGAAAUGAUAUGAAAUCAAUUAGAGCAACACAAAAUGCUUCUGGUUCACUAAUCUCAAAAUCCGGCUGAUCAUUAUAGACCCUCAAGUAAACAUCACCAACAAAAAUUUCUUUCGAUAGUGCUUCAUAUGAAAAGAUUUGUGAAUCAUUCAAGUCAUAUGAACCAUCAGGCCCCACACUAGCACGUUGCUUAUCAACAAAUUUCAAUAGUUCUGCUCGUGUUGAAGAGUUCCAUAUAAUCUCUGGAGACUCCAAAUUCGUGUUUAAUUUGGAUAGCAAGUCUUUUGGUAAUUGGUGUUUCAACAUGCUUGCAAGUUUAGGAGUUAGCAAAGCUCGAAGCGCAUCAGCAGCAGCAGCAUUAUAAGGUGUUGAACUCCCAUCAGUGCACAGACCACUAAGUCUAGACAAUGCCUGAGAUGCUCGAACAGCAUGCAUAUUUUUGGCAAUUUGAACACUAGAACCAACACCAUGCGACUCCAUCUUGUCAGAUUCUUCAGCUGUUGAGUCAUACUGAAGCAAUAAUGGCAAGAGGUACCAAAGCACACCUGCCUUCAAUAAGGCAUCUUGCAAUCCAGAGGAUACGGAAACAUGUGCAAUAGUCUGGAGGGCAGCAUCAACAGCUUCAGGUACAAGCUCAAGUUCAGUGCAGUGCACAAUGUCAUCAACUAGUCCAGAUAAUUCAAGCAUCUCAACCCUGGCACUCUCAAACUGACUCAAAACAGAAAAGGUUCGCAUCACAUUUGUAACAAUAAUAGCAGAUGGUUCACUUGCAGAAGUAGUUGGCUGAACUACACACAUACAACGAGAAAGAAGAGUUGCAAGGAGUUGUAUCCCUCCAUCCCUUACAAGCUCCUCACCGUUUAAUGAAGAAGAUGCACACGUCAGCCAAGUAAGCUCUGAUGCUGCAACAAGCAAGUGUGCUCUAUCAGAAGAAAGAAAAUUGUUGUCAUCAUUGUCCACAGUAACCGCAUUAAGCAACAUGGGAUAGCCAGCAUAUUUAAAAGGCUCCAGCACAUUCCCGUAUCUUCGGUAUAAGAUGCACUGUCCUUUCAAUAAAAGCAGUAACCUCCAAGGCUGAGGACCUUGCAAGCCUUGCAUGGUAGCCUGAAGGCGUUCAUAGGCUUUCUGCACAGCAAGAAACUUCUCCCUUCCCUCAGGGUUCUUGUCAGGAUGGUAUUUCAUAGCAAGUUUCCUAUAUUGUCGCUUGAGUUUUUCUUCAUCAAUAUUCUCAAUCUGCUUUGAUAUGCUAGUUAUAUCCUCAGAAGUCUCAAAAGAAUACUUCUUUUUGCCAUCUUCACUUGAGACAUCUUCUGGUGAUAUCUCUAAUAUUCUGCAAGCAUCUUCUUCAGAAAGAUCCAUAGGUCUCCGUGUCAACUCUUCACGCCACAUUACCAAUAAUGAUUGCAGAAACUCAACAUGUUCAACAAUUGGCCAAUUUGGAAAGCGAAUCUCAUCACACAAGUUUCGAAGAUAAUAUCGGUGACACCACAUCUCAUCUCUAAGCUCUGGGUAUGUCACAGGUGGCAUAGGGGCAUACUCAUAUAAAGAAUGACAGUGCUGUGACAACUUCUGGGGAAAAUCACCCAGAUGCUGCAAAACCUGACGAAUCAGAUUUUCUGCUCGCAUUUUGUGUGUCCAUAUAAUCUCUGGAGUAUCAGAAUCUGAAACCAUUGCAGCAGUAAAAGCAGCUGGACCACUACGCUCCAGUACAUACAGCAAAGAUUCAGGAAGAAUCCCACCCAACACGCUGCGUUUUGCAAGAGGCAAUGAUGAAGAAACAGCAGCUUCUUCACCACCAUGGAAUGCUUGAUGGACAUGAGUCACAGCAAACAGUUGUGCAAUGGAAAGCAGAUUGGAUCCAGGGUAUGAUAGGGCAAAAUAGAAUGCCCCUGUGCUGUAAAGACGUACCAUGGCCUUGGGAUUUCUGGUAACAACAGCCUUCAGCAAUGCUGCAGCAGCCUCCACAAUACUCGGUUCCCCAGAAAGCAUAGCCUGUGCAAUAUGUGGAAGGCAGCGAGGACUUGAAAGGAUACGCUUUACCCUUGGUGUUGGGGUAACUAUCUCCCCAGCAUCAUCCAAGUCGGAAUGAGCAGCUACCAUGCUAUGUAAUAUGGACAAGGCUGCAUCUCCUACCUGAGACGAUGUGAGGACUGGAACACGAACAGCUAAUGCCCAACGAAGUUCACGGAUAUCACGCAAUCUCUUCCACUCCACCAUUCCAGACGCCCAGCACUUUGUUGUCCAUUCAAUUCCUUUCUUUGACCAAAACCUUCUGAUUGCAUCCUUCUCGACAGGUCCAACUUGUGCACCAUCCUUCUCAAUAAACAUCCAUUCUUUAAGUGGCUCCAUGAAGGCAGUAGCAGCUAAUAAAUUAGAUUGUAAUGGGAUAGCAGUUCUUUCUGAAGCUUCAUGAACCACUGUCAGCAAAUCAACAGCCAAUACACACCCUCCAACCAAAACACAAGCCUCCACAUUAGACAGAACCUUCAUUAAAACCUUCAAAAGGAGGAGAAGACGGUGCCUCAAAGCUCUAUCAUCUGUCCUAUCUAAAAGAACUGUAAUGUGUGCAGUACCCUCAAAAGGACCUAUCAUCAAGUAAUGUUGUUCAUAGACAAUGGUCAUUGCUCUUGCACAAAGCUCCCUUACUGAAAAGCCUCCGCAUCCCCCAAAACCAUCUAAUCUUCCCAUAUCACACCAAUCAUCCGAUGCACCCAGUUCAUCAGGAACAGCACCAUCUACGGUAAGACCUGUGUCUGCAUCACAUAAAAAUCGAUGAUAGAGUGCCCUAAAGAAAGCUACUGGAUCACGCAGUGGAAAAUCCUGUGCCCUGCCACUGCUACCACUAUCAAGCAGCAAACGCAGAUAAUAUUGACCUACACAUACUUCUUUGGACAAGCUUGGAUAACUCACAGAGAACUCUGAAUAGUUCCAAGAUAUCUGUGGCACACUAUCUUGCCCAGUCAUCAUCUCUACUGUCACCCCUCCUGGAACAAUAUCUUCAGUACGCUCCUUCUCAACAUCAAGUUUAUGAACCUCAGCCUGCAAACCCUCCCUCAGUUCUUGCCUUGUGCGCUCAUUCCAGAUCAGAUCUGCACGAUUGUGAUCAAGGCUAAAUGCUCGCCAAAAUUCAUGCCAAUUACAGAGUAGCCGACCAGAACCCACAGGUGUAUUCUCCACAACAACCUGUGCAGGAGCUGGAGGGCCUGUGUUCUGGAAACCAGCCACAUGAGAAUCAGAGUCAACUGAAUUAGAGACAUCUGGUUCUGCUGUCUCAUGUAUACUGGUUGAAGGUCUAUCAGCUGAAACAGGUGAAUGUUCAUUUUGCAAAACCCCUACAUGAGUAUCACUGGUCAAAUUUUCAACUGUGUGAAGAGUGGAAGGUUGUCCAGAAAGUGGAUCCAUGGCAGAUUUUUUAUAGUUUUCUGAUCCUUUAAGACCACCAGCAUUCACCUGCCUCACUGGAUCACCAACUUCAUAAUUAACAGGAUCUUGAGAUGUAAUUCCUCUCCCAGAAUGACCUCUCCGCUGCUGAAGUAAACGUCUCUGUCUCCUACUAAUCAGUGAUCCUUCUUGAUUUGCAUCUUCAAGUUGAACUCCAUCAGAGCGAGUAUGCAAAUAAGCAACAAGCCCAGGAGGCAGAGCCCUAGACAACAGAUCUAAAGCUGGUUGAUAGGAAUCAGCCCAAAGAGCUACAAGUUGUCGACUAACCUCUCGACGCUCACCAGCAGGAAGGUAAAAAGCAUGCAAUAGAUGCCUCAGCAAAGCACCAUCACGCAAAGAAGCAUCACGCAUGGAUUCUGCUGCAAUUGCAUCUUCUUCUGCAAUUGUACGCAUGAUCACAGCAACUGUUUCCCUUACACUUUCAGCAGGAUGUGCAAACAAUGCGAAUAAUCGGCGCCGCAAACCAGCUACCUGUCGUAACAAUUCAACAAAAACUGUGUAUUGUGUAGUUUCACCAUGUGGUUCACAUAUCAUAGCCUCAAGAACUUCAACAACAGCCAUUGACAAUAAAGGUGAUACAGACAUGGGUUUCAAUCGGUUAGCAAGGAUAAUAACAUAACUAUUAUGAGCAAACAAGACAGACUUCGUGUGCAUUAUUGUGGCAUGCCGCUCUCCUUUAGAAUCUGUUAAUAAACUAGGAUCCAUUGGACCACCACCAAUAAGAGCUGCAACAAGUCCUGCAGCUUCAGCUGCUACACCCUCAGAACCAUUUCUAAGCAAACCCAUUAUUCUUCCAACAGCAGCAGGAAAAGACAUCACAUGUGAAGCUGCACUUCUUGAAGCCAAUAAUCUACGUAAACAUGCAAUGAAACCCAUCACUGUUGCAGCUGCUUUAGGAGAAGGAGGUGGCAAGGGAGGAGACUCUGGAGGAAGAUUUGGUGUAGCAGGAAGCAUCGUAAUCAAGGCCAUCAAGGUGACCUCAGGCACUUCAAUAUUAGGAGGAACUCCACUAUAUGGAAUACAAGCAUUGAACUCCCUUAUUCUACGCCACAAUUUAGCUCUUGAACCAGGAAUUGAUCCACCUUCAGCAACAGCAUCUUUAGCAGCUGCAGCUAAGUGUUUCAAAUGCAUGGAUGCACUUUCCAUGUCAGCAGUAGGACGUUGUGGUCCUACUAAUAAAUGAACUCUCCCACAAGGUGGAUCAAUACAAUGACCAGGCAUAGUCAACCUAGGUAAUAUUGGUACUGGGAUCUGACCUUCUGUUUGCAACACAUCCCGAACUGCAGCAAGUAAGCUAUCACGAGACGUGCUUGCAUAAACGUGGAUAGGGCAUCCAUCAUUGUACUCAAUAGCAAACAUUUGAGGCUCCUCAGCAAAUCGAACAAGCAAGCUUACUGCAGAUAAAGGACGAACAAUAACUGCUUCGUAGUUUUCCGGGCGCCUUUCAACAAGUGAAAACUUAGUUAGAAUGAGUUGACGAGAGACAGCAUCACCGUGAUCUCCAAGUCCACCUCUUGGGCCAAUUCCUAAACUCAAUCCAGGAACAUUUAGAGUUCCAUGAGCAGCAGAACGCAACCUUGUUACAGACCAACCCCCAUAAGGGGUUUCCUCUGCUCCAACUGCCUCCUUUGCCCGCUGCUUGAUAUACUCCACUAUACUCAGGGUUUGAGAACUGUCCACAGAUAGUGAUACCCCAACCAUUGACUUGGCAGUUUUAGUCAAGUUCGAGAUGAUUGCUGUGUUGGUGGUCCCUGAAGAAGCUUGGAAAGCUUUAGACUUUCUUCCAUAUGAAGGGCAAAGAACAAAACCUCCAUAAUCGCUUGCUUUCUUUCCAUAGGCAUCAGAAAGAAGAAUGACAGCAGGGGAUUUCAUGUCUCUAAAAUCCAAGCACCAGCGUAGAUCCCCAGUUUUUGAUUCAACCAGUUCAACCCCAACAUAAGUAACUUUCAAUUUAAGAGGAACCCACUCGCCAUUCCUUCUCCUAAGAUGCAUCACCGGAAACUCCGCCACAGCACUUAACCUAUUCCAGCGUAUUCUAUGCAACUCAGUAAGAAUACUAGCCCUAUACCUAGACGAAAACUUAAUCGCCUUGAAUUUUCCUUUCCCAUCAGUCCUAACACUCAAAUUGAACUCAUUCGAAUUCUCAUCGCGUCCAAUAAUCGGAGAAGCACCUUCGAAAUCUCUCCCUACAUCGUAAGAGUUGGUGACGGAGAGCGUAUUAGGGUCCAAAGUAAUAAUCGAAACAUUAGAAAUACACAGAAUACGCUUGUAUCGACCCCGCCAGGAGUGCUUGACGACGAGGUAUCGGGCAAGGUACUCAGGCUCUUCCUGAAGGGGAGGCGCAGAAUUGGCAGGAGGAGGAGAAGAAGAAGAAGAGGCAGACUUUGAUAGCUAUUAAUAAAGAAAAGAGAGAGAGGGGAAGAAUUUGCAGAAGAGUUGAAGAGAGUUUUUGGAAGCAAAGCAGAGGAAGGUUCACAAAGAAAGAACAUUUCGUGCGGUUUUUUUCCGAGAAAUAAGGAGAGAAAAUGUGGAAAUGGAAACAGGAGCUCAAUUUGGAAAACGCCGAUUGGUUGGUCACUACUUUGCGCACUAAACG
rnacentral:misc_RNA from 1 species